GGCGUACGCUGGCGGCGUGCUUAACACAUGCAAGUCGAACGGAAAGGCCCUGCUUUUGUGGGGUGCUCGAGUGGCGAACGGGUGAGUAACACGUGAGUAACCUGCCCUUGACUUUGGGAUAACUUCAGGAAACUGGGGCUAAUACCGGAUAGGAGCUCCUGCUGCAUGGUGGGGGUUGGAAAGUUUCGGCGGUUGGGGAUGGACUCGCGGCUUAUCAGCUUGUUGGUGGGGUAGUGGCUUACCAAGGCUUUGACGGGUAGCCGGCCUGAGAGGGUGACCGGCCACAUUGGGACUGAGAUACGGCCCAGACUCCUACGGGAGGCAGCAGUGGGGAAUAUUGCACAAUGGGCGGAAGCCUGAUGCAGCAACGCCGCGUGCGGGAUGACGGCCUUCGGGUUGUAAACCGCUUUCGCCUGUGACGAAGCGUGAGUGACGGUAAUGGGUAAAGAAGCACCGGCUAACUACGUG
rnacentral:rRNA from 1 species